CUGCUCUCUCUGAAUACACAGCACUUCGCCAGCCGGGAGAGGAAGCAGCAUUUUGAGAGGUCGCUUAUGGUUGUGACCCUGAUCUUCCCGGAUGUCUGAUGCUUCUUUUGAGGCAUUUCAAUGAAGACCAGGCCAAGAUGUUCCUGAAAGUUGAUGAAACUUGUCUGCCAUCGGAAGUUGAUGACCUGUCAAGUGCACCAUGCAUCGUUGGAGUUCUCCCCUGACAGCUGGACACUUCAUGGUCGCCGUCGACCAGACCAUCGUCAAUGGCAGUGUCCCAAAUGUUGUUGACACUGAUGUUUGCACUAUAUUACUGCCUCAACAUCAGCUAUCCCACAGUACUGGGAGGUACCCUGGAGUUCUUGCAGAGGUGCCUUUUCAAAAUCAAUCCGGACAAGGGGACUAAAGUGGAGAGGAAAGCUUCAAAGAAACAGCAGUCAGUCAAUCCGAAGGUGCUUUCAUUGAUCACCAACAUCGCUGACUUUGAAUGGAGAGAGUAACAUCGCACACACAUAGUCACAUACAUAACUGUUAAGAGAGUUUAGUGUUUAUAAUGUUAUGUUUGGCACAAAAUGUUGGCUAAUGUUUAAGGUUUCUUUGCCGGUCUAUUCUGCUUUAUUAUUAUUGUGUUUAUGUGUAUGGAUGUAUGUGUGUAUAUG